AGAAAGUGCAAGGACCCCUAGACCUUCAUGAUUAACUCUGGACACUGACAACUCAUUACCUGACGUCAAGGUAAACUAUCGUGGCGGCCAUAUUGAAAAUCAGAUUCAAACCUCUUGAAUCAAGCAAGGUGUCAUCAAUGGUGGGAACAAGCAUGUGAAAAGUCACACUUUAGUGUCACACUUCAGUGAAGUGAAUUCAGUCAGUGCUAUCAGUCAGCGUGGUGUACGCUGGAGGAAGACACAGUGAUGGGUAUGGU